rnacentral:rRNA from 1 species
ACGGGAGGCAGCAGUGGGGGAUAUUGCACAAUGGGGGAAACCCUGAUGCAGCGACGCCGCGUGAGUGAUGAAGUAUUUCGGUAUGUAAAGCUCUAUCAGCAGGAAAGAUAAUGACGGUACCUGACUAAGAAGCACCGGCUAAAUACGUGCCAGCAGCCGCGGUAAUACGCAUGGUGCAAGCGUUAUCCGGAUGUACUGGGUGUAAAGGGAGCGCAGACGGCGUGGCAAGCCAGAUGUGAAAGGCAGGGGCUCAACUCCUGGACUGCAUUUGGAACUGUCAAGCUAGAGUAUCGGAGAGGUAAGUGGAAUUCCUAGUGUAGCGGUGAAAUGCGUAGAUAUUAGGCGGAGCACCAGUGGCGAAGGCGGCUUACUGGACGAUAACUGACGUUGAGGCUCGAAAGCGUGGGGAGCAAACAGGAUUAGAUACCCUGGUA